rnacentral:rRNA from 1 species
UACGGAGGGAGCUAGCGUUGUUCGGAAUUACUGGGCGUAAAGCGCACGUAGGCGGCUUUGUAAGUUAGAGGUGAAAGCCUGGAGCUCAACUCCAGAAUUGCCUUUAAGACUGCAUCGCUUGAAUCAUGGAGAGGCGGGUGGAAUUCCGAGUGUAGAGGUGAAAUUCGUAGAUAUUCGGAAGAACACCAGUGGCGAAGGCGGCCCGCUGGACAUGUAUUGACGCUGAGGUGCGAAAGCGUGGGGAGCAAACAGG